CCUACGGGAGGCAGCAGUGAGGCAUAUUGGUCAAUGGGAGAGAUCCUGAACCAGCCAAGCCGCGUGAGGGAAGACGGCCCUAUGGGUUGUAAACCUCUUUUGUCGGAGAACAAAACCCGGGACGUGUCCCGGACUGCGUGUAUCCGAAGAAAAAGCAUCGGCUAACUCCGUGCCAGCAGUCUCGGUAAUAAGGGGGAUGCAAGCGUUAUCCGGAUUGAUUGGGAUGAACUGGUGCGUAGGCGGUCCGUUAAGUCAGCGGUAAAAUUGAGGGGCUCAACCCCGUCGAGCCGUUGAACAUGGCAGAGUUGAGUUGGCGAGAAGUACGCGGAAUGCGCGGUGUAGCGGUGAAAUGCAUAGAUAUCGCGCAGAACUCCGAUUGCGAAGGCAGCGUACCGGCGCCAGACUGACGCUGAGGCACGAAAGCGUGGGGAUCGAACAGGAUUAGAUACCCCUGUAGUC
rnacentral:rRNA from 1 species